AUGUCCCCGCACCACACCACCUCCAUCUCCAUGGACACCUCCACCCUUGCCGCCGUCGCUUCCUUCGUCGCCUUCUCCACGAAGCCCCGCCUCCUCCCGCCACUCAACCCCUCUCGCACCCUUCCACGCACCCGCGGCUCCCUUGCCGUCUGUUGCUCUCACUCCCACGCCUCUCCUCCGCCCUCGCCCCUCCCGUGCACUGCGUCCGAUGAGGAGGAGGUCGCUCCUCCGCGCCUCCGCCUCCGCCUACUCGCCGAGGAGUUCGGCGCUCUUCCGGACGCCGACCGCGCGCGCCGCCUGCUCGCGUACGCGGCCGCGCUCCCGCGGCUGCCCCAGGCGGACCGCGUCGCGGCCAACCGCGUCAUGGGGUGCGUCGCGCAGGUCUGGCUCCUGGGCAGCUGCGACCGCUCGGGACGCAUGCGGUUCGCGGCCGACUCCGACUCCGAGCUCUCGCGCGGGUACUGUUCCUGCCUCGUCUCCGCGCUCGACGGCGCGGGCCCCGAGGAGGUGCUCGACGUGGACCCCGCCGAUCUCGCGCCGCUCGGUGUGGCCGCGGGGGCGCGGUCCCGGGUCAAUACGUGGCACAACGUGCUCGUCGGCAUGCAGAAGCGGGCGCGGGCAGCCAUUGCGGCGCGCGAGGGCAGGCGUCCUGGGGAGCCGUUCCCGUCGCUCGUGAUCGGCCGGGACGGCGCCGUCCGCGCGCAAGGAAGCUACGCCGAGGCCAAGGCGAAGUUUUUAUCUCCUGACCAGUCCAAGAUUUCCGAGCUUGUGAAUGCCCUCAGAGAGAAACAAAUUGGAAUUGUGGCCCAUUUCUACAUGGAUCCUGAGGUGCAAGGCAUACUAACUGCUGCAAAGAGGCAAUGGCCCCACAUUCACAUAUCCGACUCAUUGGUAAUGGCAGAUAGUGCUGUUCAGAUGGCUGAAUCAGGAUGCAAAUAUAUCGCUGUGCUAGGUGUUGACUUCAUGUCAGAAAAUGUCCGUGCAAUACUUGAUCAAGCAGGAUUUACUCAGGUUGGUGUUUAUAGAAUGUCCAGCGAGCAAAUUGGUUGUUCCUUGGCAGAUGCUGCUUCAAGUUCUGCUUAUACACAUUUUCUUAAGACGGCAUCAAGAUCUCCUCCUUCUUUACAUGUCAUUUAUAUCAAUACCUCACUGGAAACAAAAGCUCAUACUCAUGAACUUGUUCCUACGAUAACCUGUACCUCUUCCAAUGUUGUUGCAACUAUACUACAGGCAUUUGCCGAAAUACCAGAUCUUAAUGUCUGGUAUGGUCCUGAUUCCUAUAUGGGUGCGAACAUAGCAGACCUAUUUAAGAGAAUGACUAUCAUGUCAGAUGAAGAGAUUACAGAGAUACAUCCAGAUCACAACAGGAAAACUAUAAGUUCAUUAUUACAACGUCUUCAUUACUAUCAGAAUGGUAACUGUAUUGUGCAUGAUAUGUUUGGCCAUGAAGUUGUGGAGAAAAUAAAGGAGGAAUACUGUGAUGCAUUUCUAACUGCACACUUUGAAGUCCCAGGAGAAAUGUUCUCUUUGUCAAUGGAAGCAAAGACGAGGGGAAUGGGAGUAGUUGGAUCCACUCAGAAUAUCUUAGAUUUCAUUAAAUACCAUUUGAAGCAAGCUCUGGAUCGGAAUGUUGAUGAUCAUCUUCAGUUUGUAUUGGGAACAGAAUCAGGAAUGAUCACUUCGAUUGUUGCUGCUGUCCGGCAAUUAUUUGACUCCUAUGAAUCUUCCAAAGAAGGUGCUAGCAUUGAAGUAGAAAUUGUGUUCCCUGUUUCGUCAGACGCAAUUUCUAAGACAUCUAUUGAUGAUUCCCAUCAUUUCGGCUCUUCAGUAGCGAAUGAUUUAGAACAGAUUAAUAUUGUGCCUGGUGUGUUUUCUGGUGAAGGGUGCUCUAUCCAUGGUGGCUGUGCAUCAUGCCCUUACAUGAAGAUGAAUUCUCUUGAGUCGCUACUUAAAAUCUGCCAGCAGCUUCCUGGUGAAGACAACAGUUUAUCUGUUUAUCAGGCUAGUCGAUUGAAUGCUAAGACUUCCCUUGGGAAAUUGGUUGCGGAGGUUGGGUGUGAGCCAAUUUUGCAUAUGAGGCAUUUCCAGGCGACAAAGAGAUUACCAGACAAGCUCGUUCACCAGGUUAUCCAUGGUAACGGAGGGGAACCUUUAUGA
rnacentral:rRNA from 1 species